GAUCCCAUCUCUAAGCUGUGAGGUGUCUUGUCUCCUCUGAAAGGACUUUAGAGAUGGCAGUUGAGACUCCCUGGAAUGUCUCCUUUACCUGGUUUAAGGAUGUGUCCGGCUUAGAGCUAAUUUGGCCCUUGGUUUGAGGCUGAAGUGGAUUCUGGACACCUUGUCUCCACUGGUCUGUGUCUCACCAUUUGGCUGCAUCAUUUAUCUGGAAUACCCCUGAUGUCAAAGGAGAUAAUAGACGGGGAAGAAAUUUAACAUCAUAAAUGACUGGACUUGCGUAAGAGCUAUUAUCAACAUCAGCAUCACCACCCUUCUCAGUUGAACACAGAACUCUAGGGGUAAUACCAGUCUGGGCCCUGCUUUCCCGAAGCCUACCAAACAAAACAAGGCAUUUAGGGGUCCAGGGUCAUUUAAGCCCUAAAACAACCUUCAACUAAAUUCAUGAGAUAAUUGCUUCAAUUUUCUGCUUUG